GCCAUCCAGCCACUCUAACCAAUUGUGGUAGCACUUAAUUAAUGCCAUAGUGCAAUUUUGAUCCCGUUUGUAGGCAAAUUGGUCAGCUCCUAUUUCCAAGCUCAAGCACGUCCCGAAAGAUCACAUUUUUCCUCACAGGCUUAGUAGUAAUACGAGGUGGAAUAAGUACACCUCGAUGAUCAGAACGAACCAAACUGUUGGACACAAUAGGUUUUCUCCAUAAUAGAGGGUAAUUGGUAAGAAAUACAUCUAAAAUUCGUUCGCCUCUUGUUGGUGAUUUUACCAUUUGUUGCAAUGAAUGAUGAGUCAUAAGUUCAGUUACAUUAAGUUUAUUUAUGUCACCACCAAUUAUAAUUCUCGAAUUUGGAUCUGAAGACAUAAUCCUUUCACAUGUAUCUACCAAACAGUCAAUUAAAUCAGUUUCAUUGUAAGCAGGAUCAGGUGGAUUAUAAACAGCAGCAAUGUAAUAUUCUAAAUUUUCUGCAGAAACGCUACACCAAGCAUUCGAAAUCAGUCCCAGAGUCAUAAAUCUUAAACUUCCAAUCAUUUCUACAAAAUAUAGCAACACCACCGCCCACUCUCGAGUCAUUACGAUCUUUCCUAAUUAUUGUAAAGCCAACAGGACAAACAAGAUUGGAAACAACGUUUGAAUUUAAC
rnacentral:lncRNA from 1 species